rnacentral:rRNA from 1 species
CCACGGGUGGCAGCAGUGGGGAAUAUUGGACAAUGGGGGCAACCCUGAUCCAGCCAUGCCGCGUGUGUGAAGAAGGCCCUCGGGUUGUAAAGCACUUUCAGUGAGGAAGAACGCCUGGUGGUUAAUACCCAUCAGGAAAGACAUCACUCACAGAAGAAGCACCGGCUAACUCCGUGCCAGCAGCCGCGGUAAUACGGAGGGUGCGAGCGUUAAUCGGAAUUACUGGGCGUAAAGCGCGCGUAGGUGGCUUGAUAAGCCGGUUGUGAAAGCCCCGGGCUCAACCUGGGAACGGCAUCCGGAACUGUCAAGCUAGAGUGCAGGAGAGGAAGGUAGAAUUCCCGGUGUAGCGGUGAAAUGCGUAGAGAUCGGGAGGAAUACCAGUGGCGAAGGCGGCCUUCUGGACUGACACUGACACUGAGGUGCGAAAGCGUGGGUAGCAAACAGGAUUAGAUACCCCUGUAGUC